rnacentral:lncRNA from 1 species
UUUUUUUUUUUUUUUUUGUCCUUUAACCACCCUAUUCCUGCACUUGCCUGAUCUCCUAACAAGUGCUCUCUUGCAUUCCUCACACUGUGCUGUGUUAGUGUCCUUGCCUGCUGUUUCCUUGCACAUUGUUACAAAUUCCUGUAACACUGUGUUACCCUGUUACAGUUUCCUGGCACACUGUCUCCUUGCACACUGUGUUACAAUUGUCUCUUUUCUUGUCAGUCUUCCCAAUAAAUUGUAGGGUAGGAGUGAGUCUCACUCAGCUCCCAUCCACCACCCAGCAGACUUUAAUAAGAGAUUCUCAGGGCAGUGAUGUUGGUCAGGAAGAAUCAAGCUCAGUGAAUUGAGUUCAGAGAGUGUGUCCUAUUUAUCCUUGUCUUUUUCAUUUUGUUGCUUUGAGGAUGAAGGUGAGCCUUCCACUUCCCACAGGAUGUUAACAUCCAUUGUGGCAUUGCUCCAUGCUGCUGCUUUUCAUGGUUUCUGUGGAACACAUCUGGAUAUACCCACUUGUGCCUGGUUCCCCCUGCCCCCUUUUUGUGUUACACACACUGGCCAAAUGGUUACAGAUACAAGCUACUUUUAGUAUCCUACAAAGCCAACCCAGCAAGACUGCAAUCAGGCAACACUGGCAUUGAAAUAGAAAGGAAGAAUAUAAUGGUUUUAGAGACAAGUACCUCCAUGGAACAGAAUGGAGUUGUGUGCUCUGCUGCUAUAGUCCUGGGCGAUUACUCUGGGGAAGGAACUUUGCCUAGAUGAUGAGGUCAUCAAUACUCAAGUGAAUGUUGGCUAACAUGAAGGACAAAUAGAUCACAUGAUGAGACUAUAUAACACUAUAGUCUUCCUGAUUGAUAAACAGCAAAUUUGAUCGAGUACUCUUGAACCAGAACACAGAAGACAAACUGCAGAUGAAUGUUGAUAUGAUAUGAGGAAGGCUUGCUGUGAGAUCUGGACUGAAGGUCUUCAGAGAAACUGAGCAUGUGUUUCUUCAGCUGGGAAGGAUCUAGGAAGGCCCUGGUUGUUGGUGUCUGGGCUGACUAUGUUUCUUCUUUCCUCCCUCACCGUGGGCCAUGUCGUCACAAUGGGGCCAGGUCAGCCCAUUGGGCUCUCAAGCCUCAUUAUUGGUAUUAAGCCUCAUUAUUUGAAGACUUUGUUUCCCAAAUUUUGGGGCUUUUACUUUGUAAACUUGAAAGCAUCUAGUUGUCAGGAAGAAUCAGGACCCGGCUGGAUGCAUCCUUUAAUCCCAGCCCUUGGGAGGCAGAGGCAGGCUGGUCUCUCUGAGUUCCAGGCCAGCCAAGACUGCCUAGUGAGACCAUGACUCAAAAAAAUAAAAUAAAAUCAGGACCCUAAACUGAGCAUUGUUUUCAUCUGGACACUGCUAUUUUUAAUGAUGUUAGAAAUAAGUUUGGGGUUGCAAAGAAAGAGACUGCCACUUCAAUCAAAGUAUCUUGACAAGGCAAAGGUUUCUCUCGAUCAAGAGCAUGUGCUGCUCCUAAAGAAGGCGAGAGCACCCAGGCAGAAGUGCACUUGGUUUUUAUUCUAGCUCAGGGGUUACUGUGUUUUUCCCCAUGGUUGGGUACUUCUGACCUCGUAGUCUUUGAAAUUGGCUAGUUAUUUUUGUUUGUUUGUUUGUUUUUGUUUUAAGGGCAGAAUUGGCAAGUGGAAAGGGAAGGGGGAAAUGAUAUAACUAUAUUUUAACUUCAAAAGAUUAAAAAUUGUAAUAAUUAUUUUCCAAAGAGGGGGAAGGCUUGGGUAAAGAACAUUGAAGGAAAGUGGGGAGGGUGGGCUGUCUAUGUUACUUAAGCUCUAAGAAUGCAGCAGAGCCUUUGUAAGCAAAGAUUCUUUUGUUUUUUGUUUGUUUGUUUGUUUUUAACCUGAGAGAGAGGAGUACAACAUUUGCAUAAAAGUCUUACAGGGCAAGGAGAUAAAGAUAUUUUAAUUUCUUGCCAUAAACAUAAAUUUUACAGGGUUUAAUAGAAAAGACUAACUGCGUUACUUGCAAUGGUGAGAUUUGAGAAAGAUGGUUAAAAGCUUUGAGAGUUUGGUGUAAGUUUUAGUUGAGACCUCUUUCUGUAAGAUUUAGCUCACCAUGGGCCCUCCACUUUGUGAUCCUGCUGUCUGUGGCCUGCUCCUUGGCUAUGAUCAUUGUUCACAUUGCAGAAUCAUAAGGGAAUGUGGCAGUGACUUGGGCAUUUGCACCUCUGCCUGGAGCUUCAGGACGGUCAGUAUUGGGUUGAUAAUUAGGGGUAAAGAGUAGAUGGAAAGAACAAAGCCGUCUUUUUUUAAAAUGUGAACUGGUGUGU